UUUUUUUUUUUUUUUUGUUAAUGGGUCACUUAACGUUGGUGAUCUAAUAGAUAUUCAAUUUUUAAAAUGUUGAGGCCAACUUAAAAUUAUCCUAAACUACAAAAAAAAAAAAAAAAAAAAAAAACCCUUAAAACUAUUCUAAAAUGUUGGGUAAUUAAACUUAACCCCAUUUUUUAAGGGAAAAAAAAAUAAAAGAGCCUCACAAAUUUUUUAUAAGGUAAAAACAUUUGAUGAACUUUUAUUAAUAAUAAUAAGGACAAAAAAGAAAGAGGUGGUGACAUUUUCUUUAGUUGAAUUUUGGUGGCAUUUUUUUAUAUACGAGUAGGUCAACUGUUUAUACAUGAUACGGUGACACGUUAUGUAUAAACAAUUGACUUGUGUAUAAAUAAUUAACCUAAUUAUUUAUAAACUGUCAUGCCAGGAAAUUUCAACUUAUUUAUGAAAGUGUCACCGCCUCCCAAACUUCAAUUUAUUUACGAAAAUGCUACCGUCAUUUUUUUUCCUUAUUACUAAUCAAUUUUCAUCCAAGUAUUUUAAUUUUUUUUUAUCAUAAGGGAUUUUCAUUAAAGCUCAUUUUUAUAAAAACAACAAUACAUUUACAUUAAGAGCGAAAGAUUUAGUCUAAAAGCCACAAUGAGUGACACAUGAUAAAUUGAUAUGUAACCUGCAGUCCAUGGGAUUCUCACUUACCUCUCACUUACGGACCAUAAUACCACCGGGUGGCAACUUUCAUCUGCAUUCACACCACUUAGUACUACAGUCUAAUAAUAUUUCUUUUUACUUGUAAAUGAGAGAUCUUAGGUUCGAUUCUCGCCAAAAGCGAAUUUGAAUGACCUUAUUGCUAGCAUAUUAUGAGACUUAGCCCACUUCCCUCUCUAGUAUAGAUAAUAUCGUGUUAAAAAUAAAAAAUAAAAAAAUAAAAAGCUUUGUACACAAUCCAGCAGCCCAGCCAACCCAAAAACCUGAAAAGAAGAAACAGAAACUUUACAAUAAGCUGGCAAGCAAGCUGAAUCUGCUGCCGAAUUUGUCUAAUCAAAUUCAUCAAAUAUGCAAUGAAACAAUUUUUAUUUCCAAAAUAUUGCAAAUUUGGUCCAACUACUGCCGGAAGUUGCAAACGUUUCUUACGUUUUUCUUCUUCUUCUUCUUCAUUGCCUUCCCACCCAAGGCACUUGGCCUCUCUCUUGCUCAAAAACCCAGCAAGCCACUCAGCCACCCAGCAAAUCCACUCUCACAUUCUCUCCUCCGGCUUAUUCCUUUGUCACAAUUUCACCUCCGCUUUUCUCCUCCUCAUCAAUACUCUCCUCCGCUGCUAUUCCUCCGGCGACUUCCCUCACGAAGCUUUCGCCUUCUACAGACAUGUCCGGCAGUAUUCUCAUUCUUUUGACUCCUUCACUUACUUCUUCCUUCUCCACGCCUCCAUUGCCUUAAACUCCGUAAUCCCAGGUGCCCAAAUCCACGCCCUGACUCACAAACUAGGUUUUCAUUUCCAUGUCUAUGUCCAAACUGCCUUGGUUAAUAUGUACGUUGCUUGUGGCUCUUUGGUACUUGCUCUCAAUGUGUUUGAUGAAAUGCCGCACAGGAAUUCUGUCACCUGGAAUGUCAUGAUAACUGGUUUGGCCAAAUGGGGUGAGCUUAAAUUAGCUCGGUCUAUGUUUGAUCAGAUGCCUGAGCCUACGGUUGUGUCCUGUACUGCUAUUAUUGAUGUGUACUCACGGAUGAAUCAGCCCCAGGAGGCUGUGGCUUUGUUUCGGAGAAUGGUUGUUGAAGAUCUUAUUGUACCCACUGGAAUUACGCUUCUGGCCAUAUUCCCAGCGGUUUCUGUUCUUGGGGAUCUUAAGAUUUGCCAAUCACUUCAUGCUUAUGGUGAGAAGAAAGGGUUUAAUGCAUCUGACAUACGUGUUGCAAAUUCCCUUUUGGACUCCUAUGCAAAGUGCGGCUGUAUAGAGAGUGCAUCAAGAUUUUUUGAGGAGAUACCUGCCCAAAGGAAGAAUUUGGUGUCAUGGACGUCCAUAAUCUCCGGUUUUGCAAUGCACGGAAUGGGGAAAGAAGCUGUCGAGAAUUUUGUAAGUAUGGAGAAAGUUGGUUUCAAACCAAAUCGAGUGACAUUCUUGAGUAUUUUCAAUGCUUGCAGUCAUGGAGGAUUAAUAGAUGAGGGGCUGAACUUCUUUGGGAAGAUGAUCGACGAGUAUGAAAUUGCAGUGGAUAUCAAACACUAUGGAUGUUUAAUAGAUAUGCUAGGGAGGGCAGGAAGAUUAGAAGAAGCAGAAAAAAUGGCUUUGGAGAUUCCUUGCAAUAUUGUUAAUGUUGUGAUUUGGAGGACGCUUUUGGGUGCUUGUAGCUUUCACGGUAAUGUGGAGAUGGGCGAGAGGGUGACGAAGAAGGUACUGGAGAUGGAGAGAGGAUAUGGAGGGGACUACGUGCUUAUGUCCAACAUCUUAGCUGGUGUUGGAAGGUAUAGUGAUGCCGAGAGAAUGAGAAGCUUGCUAGAUGAGAGGAACGCCUUCAAACUUCCAGGGCAUAGUUUGGUCUAACUGGUGUUGAAGAUGCACAACCAGGGUUGAGAGAGAUUAUAAUGCUAUGAUAGCUCCUGCCACUGUUUGUGCUUCCUCGGAGAUAUCUUGUUUAUAUGGAGCUCCUGCCGCUGCCCGUGGUCUUUCCUUCCACUCUCGUUUCAAAAUAGCCAGCCAUACUUUCCAUCGAACACUACAAUAUAGGGCUACCUGUGAGAUGGUGGGUAUUAUUAAUGUCUCAUUUUCCCUCCCCGACUUCAAAUUCUAACAAAAUCAAAGAAAUAUCAUAUUUGUUUAUUAUUACUAAACCAUGAUGCCUCAAACUCCACUCUCUAGAAAGGGCACUUUUGAAGACAUUGUAGGUAAUAUGAACUAAUGAAAGGGUGAUGUCAAGGAGAUCACAUUUUGUAAGCCACAUUUGAACCAUCUCUUUAAUAGAGAGAGUUUGAUAGUCGGUCCCACCGCUAUUAGAGAGGUGACUUACAUGUGGUUUACAAAAUGUGAUCUCCCUGGAAUUUUCCGUGAUGAAAAAAUGGCCUGCCAAAUAGAUGCUCAAUACCAAAGUUGAUAUGACUGACCAAAUCAUCAUUCAUAUAAAACGUCAUAUUAGGAGUUCAUCAUAUGUCAUCCCUAGUUUAAGCCCAUUGUUCUCGUGUUGAGUCAGGUUAGCCUGACGUGUUGUAUUUAAGAUUUAAAUUUAUAUUGUAGCUGAUCAUGUACGUGUUUUUUGGUUUGUACAAGUUGGUGAUGUAUUGUUCUCGUGUUUAGUCAGACCAGCCUGACGUGUUGUACCUAAGAUUUAAAUUUAUAUCGUAGCUGAUCAUAUACAUGUUUUUUGGUUCGUACAAGUUGGUGAUGUAUCAUAAGCAAGUAGGUUGUUGUACCAAGUUGUUUUUCUUUUCAUGUUCAUAUUUAUAAAGAUACAAAAAUUGAAUGGUUAUCGUUCCCAAAGGGUGUGUAAGUAUGAGAAAGAAAGAGGGAGGUGUGCAGAAGCGGCAGAGGUGGAGGAGAGAAAGGGACGUCUGUGUGGGAGUGAUUAGCUUUGAUCAUGCCGCCCACAACUCUUUUAGAGAGGUGGGCGUGCCUGGUUAGGUCCCGAGUUCGAAGUUUGUCGAGUCAAAUAGGGUGACUCGUCGGGAACGCACUCUCUAGAGAGAAAAUGUUACUAUAGACACUUAAGAGUAAACUAGAUAGCAAGUUAGCAACACAGGCCAAAAGUGUGAGUAUUAUUGGACCCCAUCAUAGUCUGCAACAUCUUGCUCUGAAAAGAGCUAAUUAAUCAACUAAUCAACAGAGAUAUACUCAAUAACUAAAGUGAAUCAGAAGAAAGCACAAACAUAUUUUGUUGAGAAAGUCAAUGAUUCUUUAUGAUACUUUCCCUCAUUAGCCUUCAAUCAACGUUGAUAAGGGACUUGUACCAAUUAGCUAUGUAGUAGGGAUCCUUGUAAUUAUAUAUACCUGUAUUCUUGUACAAUCAAAGUCAUUGCAUUUGAAGUAAAUUUCAGAACUUCCAAUAAGCUAAAUUUAAGAUAUUUGCUACCGAAGCCAAAAAAAAAAAAAAACCUCUAAAGUGAUCACAUUGGGUCGGGCCAGCCCUACGUGUAUCUAAAAUGUAAAUAGUUUUUGCAAAGAUUGUCUAUCGUGCUUGCAUUUUGCAAAGAUUGUCUAUCAUGCUUGCAUUCGUUAAUACGUGUUUAAUUGUAUUGCUUUGUUUAAGAGAGAGAGAGAGAGAGAGAGAGAGAGAGAGAGAGGUGUGCAGAAGUCGCAUAGGUGGGCAAGGGGAAGAUAGAAAGGGAUGUGCAUGGGAGUGACUAACUUAUUGGAGUUGGUUGAAUGUAUUUUCAGAAAUAACUUGAUCCCUUUUUUGUAUGGCCCGCAUAGAACUAUGCUAUUGAAGUGAGUAAAACUAAAGCAACCGUAAUAUUUAUAUCAUUUGUGGGUACGGCUAACUUCUCAUGAGGUAACUGCAUGAUUUUCCAAGGUAAAAGAGCUCCUUGACCAAUUCGAAACAAAAAUAAAUAGAAACAUAGUUCCAAUAAAAGGAACCCAUGGACCAUAUUCUUCUCCAAUCUGAGUUUUGCUCACGUUACGAAUGAAUUCAAGGACAUAUUCAAAGUGUUCAUGCCGCCCACAACACUUUUAGAUAGGCGGGCAUGUCGCUAGAUUCCGAGCUCGGAACGCGUCGAGUCGGGAAGGGUGACUCGUCGGAAAUGUUCUCUAGGAGAAAACGUUACCGUAGACAGCAACAAAGGCCAAAAGUAUGUGAGUAUUAAAGGACCCGAUCGUAGUUAAACAUCUUGCUCUUAAAAGAGCUAAUUAAUCAACUAAUCAACUAAUCAACAAAGAGAUAUACUCAAUAACUAAAGUGAAUCACCUUCAGAUUCAAAAAUAAAGCGUAAACAUACUUACAAUCGAAGAAAAAAGCUUCUAAAGUUAUGGCAUUAGGUCGGGCCAGCCCAACGUGUUGUACUUAAAAAUUAAAUUUGUAACUUUUGAAGGAAUUGUCUAUCGUGCUUGCAUUUGUUAACCGUGUUUAUUUAUUGCAGUUGUAUGAAACAAUUCCUUGGUUCAUUUCAUAUUGCAUUUACACGAGAUAUUUAAGUAGAAUAAUCUCAAAUUUAUUUAGAUGAAGCUGAAAUUUGUGCGAUACAUGUGGUUGAUGAUUAGGUUUUGAUUGGUUGAAAUCAUCUUUUAAAAUGUAAAAAUUAUUUUUUAAUUCACUUGGCACCAUGUGAUUGGUGUUGCGGAAUCUCACCCAUGUACCACAUUAGCGUACUAACAGAACUUUAACGGAUUUGGACAGAAUGACCAAACUGAUGUGUUGGACCAAACUUUUUUCUAAAACAUGAAGGAUCAUUUGUGAAAAAUAAAAAUAAAACAAAAAAAAAACCCUAAAUUGUUUUUUCUAAAGAUGCUUUAACUAGAAACAUUGAAUUUUUAUUACAUUACUUUCUUAAAAAGCACUAGAAGUGCUUCCUAAAGAUGAAACAUGGGUACUUAUUUCUCCAUAAAGCACUUCUAUGAAGCACUCUUGGCUUUCCAAAAACAGCCCCAGUUAACCCAUAACAAACAACUCACUCAAGACCACUAAAUAAAUUAGACAGUAAACAAAAGAAAGGUUAAUAAGACAACUACUAUCUCCUCAAAAGUAGCUGAUUAAACAAAACCAGCGGUUAAGAGAGGUUAAUUACAUGGCAGACGAAGUUGUUGAGUAUUCGAUGCUGCAAAAGUUCACAUAUACAAGAACAAUCAACAUUUUGUACACCAACUGGACAACAUAUGGCUAAUAAUUGACGAUUCCAUGUUGCUUAUCACCUUAACAUUUGAAACCUCCGCAGGCAAUAAGCCAUAGUACGAUGAUCAGGAUAAGGACUCCACCUCCAAUCAUUAGCUUCAUUUGGAGACUCUGCAGCCACAUCUUACGUCGCAAUUGCCUGCCUUGCCUCUGGAAGCUGUCAGCCUGAAUUCAAUACAAACAUCCCCAAUAGCAUGUCAACUAAAAUUACCUUGUGAGUUCAAAUCCGGUUUUAGAUUAUACAACCAGAUUAGGUAAGUGAUGGCAUGUACCUGGAACUGCAGAUUUUCUGUUUUAUCAACCAAAAGUUCAAUUCUCUCCCCACGAUCCAAAACCUGCCACCAAGAGAUGGGAUUUAUCCAAUCAACUCAAAAUGAACAAAAGUAGCCAUUCAUGGCUGACUCGCAAAUAUAAGAAGGUAAAAAAAAAAGGGGUGUGAUAUCCACACACUCUAUUUUACUUCUCACACACCUUUUUAAUUUUCGGCCGUCAGAUCGGAUGAAUUGAAGAAGAUCAAUGGACAGAAAUUAUCAAGGAGUGUGUGAGAAGUAAAAUUGGGUGUGUGGAUAGCACACCCCAAAAAAAACAGGUACUUAUUUUCUUUCUACAGAAGCACCAAGGGAAGAAAACCCUCCAAUUAGAUUUGAUUUAUAACAUUAAGGUAUUUGAACGGUAGUGAUAUUAAAACAACAGACAACAAAUAUUUCUAUCUGUCUUCCCACUCCGUUGUCAGCAUUUCGGCAUAAUUUUAGUUCAGGUGGUCAAGUACAACCCAAACUAGUAUGAUUCUACUGAUUACAAGACUGGUGUUUCUUGCUAGAAUGGAUUUACAAAAAUCCCAUACGCAAUUCAAGGAAGCCCUUAAAUCCCAUACGCACAUUGAAGAGCAAUAGUUAUCAGACUCAAACAGACAAUUAUCAAAUUUCUAGCAAAACAUGGUUGUAAGAUCAGAAGCAAUUCAAACCACUGAUAUCCCCCAUUUUACCGUACCCGACUCCCCAAGACCUAUAUAACUCCACCUGGCCAUAAAUCUUUAUUCCUUGGUGCAUGGAGAUGAAUCUUAGAUCAUGACCACCCAAAAAUAGCACUAGCUAUACCCACAUGUUUUCUAUAUUAACCAAGUUUGCAUGACUAUGGAAAAUCCACCCAAGCUGAUUGUUCUUCCUCACCCCACAAAUGUCUACAUUCUCUUUUAUAUCCUCGUUUGACAAUAAAAAACAGACUUAAUUUAUGCACGAUAUGUUCUAAAGAAUUCCUACCCUUUCUUAUAAUCGAAUUGGAAGAAAAGUCCUUAGAUUUUCUUUAUUCAACAGAGGAAAUGGGAGAAAGGAGAACCCUUCAUCCCAGUAAAAAUCUGAAGGUAGCACUGCAGUUAAAUAGCUAUCCCUCUUGUUACCAGAGCAGUGGUGAUGAUGAAGAACACAAGUCUAAUAGGUAUAAGACUUUAUAAUUUACAUCUUUGUACUUCUUUGGAGCAGAUUCAAUGAUUGAAUAAAAUUUCCAGAGCUUUGCUUCUCUCUUGGUUUGUGUGAUGCAACCUAACCCUGGGUGUGAUGCCUAAGGCCUCUACAGGUGAUUCGUUUUAUAAAUCUUUGGAUGAGUUUUCGUUCUAGAGUCAUACUUUCAUAAAGACUCAUCUAGAACAGAUAGCCAGCCUUGCCUUUUGAAAACUAAGGCUUUCCUGCAUCAGGUGGAACUACCAAAAUUAAUGGUAUGACUUAAGCUGCUCCAGCUCUCAAGUCACUCUCCCCAAAGAAAUGUAGUAAAUAAAAACCAACAUGUUCUUACAAAAAAAUCCACAAAACAAGAGAUGGUGAUGCAAUUCUCAGUGGAAGUCAAUUCAAUCAUCACAUACUUCUAAAAAUUGAUGCAAUUUAUCCAAAAGGAAGAGAAUGCAAGCUCCGAUGCAAGUCCAUUGUUCAAUCUUUGAUGCAUACACAAACUUAACUGAAACUAGAAGAAGAUGGGGAGUUCAAUAGAAAGCUGAAAAGAAAAAUAGACAAAAUCAAUGUCUAAGAUUAUCUCAUGGGCAACCCCUCCAAAUUAUAAAGUGGAAGCCCAACAUACGUUUAAAACAAAAAACUCAUAAAUACUCCAUUUCAAAACAGCCAAACCCCUAAUGGCAAAGUAUUGUCAGCAGGUUACCCUCAGAAAAAUGAUCACUAAAGUAACGAGUACUAAGGCAUCAGGUCAAAUUCUAUGACAAAGGGCUGUAACUUGUGCUGAAAACACACCAUUCUAUGCAUAAAAUAACCAUAUCUUCAUAAAGUUCCUCAGCCACGAGUAUAUUAUAUUUUACCUUCUCAAUAUUGUCCAUCAUCACACCUUUGACCUCCGUGAUUUGGGCCUUCAAUUUGGAAAGCUUACUUAUUUCUUCUGGAUGCUCCAUGCAAUAUUGCAUGUGCUCCUUAAGCCUUGGCCUGUCAAAGAAAAACCCAAUAUUUAGUUGCCAUACUAAAUUACAUAGAAGAUUAACAUUUAAACACCAAAAGGCAAAUACACACCCAAAUUCUCUGUCAAGAUUGUAUGCAAUGCUAAAACGAUCUUCAAAUAAGUCAUCGUCUUCGUCACCAUCAGCAAGAGGAUGUGACCCUGCAUUCUUAAUAUCUGGACCAUACCGAUGCUUGAAAUCCUCUUUCACUCGUUCAAGGAACACAAACGGUACAGUCCUCCCGGCAGAUUCAUCAGCAACAACAAGAAACACUGCAAACCCAUUUAGCCGGUUAAACCGUACAUUCCACAAGUAAAUCUCAAACAAAAUUGCUGGAACUUAAGAAAGAAUCCGUACCAAAUCCACUGUCAAGUAGGAAGUUAAAAGUGUGGCCGUCACACGAGUAGGUGUACUUGCUGUUACUGGAAGGUAGCUUCUGUAAGCACUGAACAGCAAGAGUACUAAAGUUUCCGGAGAAGGACGUGUGUUCUGCUAAAACAACACUUCCUUUUGCAACAAAGCUAUAUAUUAAUCCUCUGUGACUCAUAUCCGAUUUAUCACUCCAAUCGCGCGAAGAUACCUAAAUGCAGUGUUACCCUAGAGAAAUUUGACAAGUAAGAAAAAGAAAUAUCAAAAUACGCAAAACGAAAAUUCCGUAUUAUACUUCAGUUGGAUGGGUUUUCAAUGUGCUUGAAACCCACCAUCGUCACUUAACCAAUCGUAAUCCUUCAAUUUUCUCGGCAACCAAACAGAAAAGGAAAAAAGGUCCCAAAGAAAUGGGGAUUAUACUUGAUUUGCAAAUCUUAAAAAAAUUAAAUUGAAUUACAUCUUGAUCCGCAAAUAACACCGACAAAUAGGGAAGAAGGAGGAACUUACUUGUCAGAUCAAUGGAUGCCGAUCUACGCAAUCCAAGAGAGAGAGAGUGUGUGUGUGUGUGAUGGAUUUAAGGGGAAGUUGCUUUGUCGGGAAGUUGAAGACCUGGAAAUAGAAUAUUGGCAAAAUCGGAAGUCAGUUGGGCGUAUUCUUUCUGUACUGAAUAAAUAAGGGCGACGUGGUGCACGGAAAAGGAUCCUCGGUUCCCUAGGAUUCUAGGAUACCGUCAACAUAAUCGUUUAUCGUAUAUCGAACGGUCAGUUUUCGUUAAAUACUAUUUAUAUUUAAUUUUUAAAUUUUAAAUUUUGAAAUAAUUUCUAACCGCACGAUAUAUUAUAAACAUAGUGCACGUCUCUUCUUGCUAAAUUGGUUUUACUCAACUAAGUCUAGAAGUGUUAAGCUCUUACAUGACAGCGUAAAUUCAAACUCCGUCGAUGGUUAACCUAACAUUUUAUCUAAUAAAAUCUAUCGUUUGACAAAAAAAAAAAAAAUUAGAUCACCACCACGUCUAUUCCAUCAAAAGAUUAAACUCCCAUUUUAUUUUUACCCCUUAAAUGACUUAACAAUAAAAUUGACGGUUUAACGAAUGAAAUAUAAAAAUCAUGUAGUGUAAAAUGCAAAAAUUUAAACCUCGCGGCUCAUUUUGCAAAUUAUUCCAAACCUUAUUGCGUAAAAUGUAGUUAACCCUUCAUUUUAAUUUCUACAAAAAUCAUAAUCAUGACGACACGUGCUUGGACGCUAUUGUUGCUUGUUAACUCAGGGUCUGUUUGCUAUCCAUUUUAGUUUUAACUUCAGUUUUUUUUUUUUUUUUAUAACUAACGAAAUGAAGACAACUCCGCCUGUGUAAGUUUAUCUUACAUUACUGGUCCCAAGCCCCGAUAAAGGAGGAGGGGGAGGGCGUCAGGUAGUCGACAGCCGCCACUCCUAGGUUACGUCGAAUCCUUAUGAAAAUGAAUCCAGAACAAAAUCGCUCUAAAGCUAGGGCGUCACCCGUAAGUGGUGCGGUGUGUGGCCCGAGCACAGUGAUAAGUGAGCAAGGGUCGCUGUAUCUCCAUCGGCACCCAGAUGCAGUGUUAAAUGAGCAAGGGGGCCAUAGAAACUUCUUUUCGAACGACUCCACUCAAAGUUUUUUAGGAGCUUAUGCUCCUAUCAACUUUACACAGGACACACAAAAGAAGUAUUUUGAUCUUAUUAGACGGGGGAGGUUGAAGAAGCUAGGACAGAAGGGUAGAGUUCAAGAGAGUAGAAUGCGUUUAGGAACGUGGAAUAUAGGAACCCUAACGGGAAAAUCUAUAGAAAUAGUGGAAGUUAUGGUGAGGAGAAUGAUAAAUAUUAUGUGCCUACAAGAAACUAAGUGGGUUGGUCUUAAGGCAAAGGAUCUAGAAAACUCAAUGUUUAAACUCUAGUAUUCGGGCACAAAUAGAACGAGAAACGGUGUUGGCAUCAUUGUGGACAAGACCUUGACACAAGAUGUAGAUGUCAAGAAGGUAGGAGAUAGAAUCAUGGCAAUCAAGAUUGUAAUAGGACAAGAACUCAUCAAUGUGAUUAGUGCGUACGCACCUCAAGUCUGGUUGGAUACGAGUUCGAAGGAGAAAUUUUGGGAAUACCUUGGAGACUUGGUGCAAGGAAUUGCUCAGACGGAGAAGUUAUUUAUAUGAAGAGAUUUAAAUGGACACGUGGGCAAAGAGACAGGCAACUAUGGAGGUUUUCAUGGUGGCCAUGGUUUUGGGGAGAGAAACGAGAAUGGGGAAGCUAUCUUGGAUUUUGCAAUGGCAUAUGAUCUCUUCUUAGCCAACACCUUCUUUAAGAAGAGAGAAGAACAUGUGAUCACCUACAAGAGUGAGUCGUCAAAAACACAAAUAGAUUUUCUUCUAAUGAGGAAAGGGGAUUGUAUAACUUGUAAGGAUUGCAAAGUUAUACCGGGAGAGAGCUUGGCUAAUCAACAUCGCUUGUUGGUGAUAGAUGUACAUAUCAAAAGAGUGAGAAAAAAGAACAAGACUUGGAAGUGCCCAAGGACUAGAUGGUGGAAUCUAAAAGGAGAAAAACAAGCCAUUUUCAAAGAGAAAGUAAUCACCCAGUGUGUGUGGGAUAGAAAGGGUGAAGCUAGCCAAAGGUGGGAUUCCAUGGCUAGUUGUAUCCGAAAAGUAGCAAAAGAGGUAUUAGGAAAGUCCAAAGGCUUUGCUCCACACCAAAGGGAAUCUUGGUGGUGGAAUGAGGAAAUACAAACAUAGGUGAAGGCUAAGAAGGAAUGUUGUAAAGCUUUAUACAAGGAUAGGACCGAUGAAAAUGGUGAAAGGUAUAGAAGAGCGACGCAAGAGGUGAAGAAAGUUGUGAGAGAAGCUAAGUUAGUGGCUUAUGACGAUAUGUAUGAGCGACUAGAUACCAAAGAAUGAGAGUUUGAUAUUUAUAAACGAGCUAGAGCAAGGGAAAAGAAGACAAGAGACCUAAACCAAGUGAAGUGCAUCAAGGAUGAGGAUGGAAAAGUUCUUGCUACAGAGAACGCGGUCAAAGACAGAUGGAUAGGUUAUUUUCAUAAUCUUUUCAAUGAAGGACAUGAAAAGAGCACUUCUUUAGGGGAGUUAAGUAACUCAGAAGAGUGUAGAAACUACUCAUUUUAUCGUCGAAUCAGGAAGGAAGAAGUGGUUGUAGCUUCGAAGAAGAUGAAUCAUAGAAAAGCAGUGGGCCCAAAUGAUAUACCGAUCGAAUUGUGGAAAGUCUUGGGAGAGACAGGUAUAGCAUGGCUCACUAACCUUUUCAAUAGGAUUUUGAAAACGAAGAAGAUGCCAAAUGAGUGGCGAAAGAGCACUUUGGUGCCUAUCUACAAGAAUAAGGGCGACGUACAAAAUUGCAUGAACUAUAGGGGUAUUAAGCUAAUGAGUCAUACAAUGAAGCUCUGGGAGAGAGUCAUUGAGUAUAGAUUGAGGCAAGAGACACGGGUUUCAGACAACCAAUUCGGGUUCAUGCCAGGGCGCUCAACCAUGGAGACAAUCUAUCUCUUACGAAGAUUGAUGGAAAAAUAUAGAGAGGGGAAAAAGGAUUUACACAUGAUCUUUAUAGAUUUGGAAAAAGCGUAUGAUAGGGUCCCAAGAGACAUUCUUUGAAGGAUUUUGGAGAAGAAAGGAGUACGAGUAGCAUAUAUCCAAGCUAUAAAGGAUAUAACAAGACAUAUUCAAGAUGAUAUUCCUUGGUGUAUGCUUUUCGCAGACGAUAUAGUGUUGAUAGAUGAAACUCAAGAAUGGGUAAAUGUGAAGCUUAACCUUUGGAGAGAAGUGUUGGAAUCUAAAGGUCUUCGCCUAAGCCGAUCAAAGACAGAAUAUAUGGAGUGCAAGUUCAGUGCAAAUGGAGGCCAAAAUGAGUUAGGCGUGAGGAUCGGAGAUCAGGAAAUACCAAAGAGCGACUGCUUUCGCUACCUAGGAUCUAUCUUGCAAAAGAAUGGAGAAUUAGAUGGAGAUCUCAACCAUAGAAUACAAGCUGGAUGGAUGAAGUGGAAAAGUGCAUCCGGCGUGUUGUGUGACCGCCGUAUGCCACUGAAGCUCAAAGGAAAAUUUUAUAGGACGGCAAUAAGGCUGAUGAUGCUGUAUGGCACAGAAUGUUGGGCGGUGAAGCAUCAACACGUACACAAAAUGGGUGUAGCAAAGAUGAGGAUGCUUCGUUGGAUGUGUGGGCACACGAAAAAGAAUAAGAUUAGGAAUGAGGAUAUUCGAGGUAAAGUAGGAGUAGCCGAAAUUGUAGGAAAGCUGAGAGAAAAUCGGUUACGGUGGUUUGGACAUGUGCAAAGAAAGCCUACUGACGCUCCGGUUAGAAGAUGCAACUACAUGAUAGAGGUUCAGGGCCGAAUGGGUAGAGGAAGACCUAGGAAAACUUUGGAAGAGACUCUAAGAAAAGACUUAGAGUACUUGGAUCUAACGGAGGACAUGACACAGGACCGAGCACAAUGGCAUUCUAAGAUUCAUAUCGCCGACCCCACUCAAUGACUUGGAUUUUUCAAGUCUCCAACCAAGAAGUUUUCCUCACUCGAGAAAUUAAGGGAACACUACCUCAACCUACAUGUUUCACUCACAAAGCUUCAACAUACAAGCUUCAACAAAAGAAAAAUUCAAAGAACUUAGUGAAGAAGGCUUUGGUGUAUUUAACACAAUACGUUGAAAUGAAGCAAAGCUUAUUUACUGAUAUCUUCGAUAAGUUACAAAUAUGUACAUAUACAUGAGUCAAAAUAAACAAACAAUAGAAGCCUUCACAAUGGUUGCUUAAGAGAAGUCUCAGCAGUCGGUAGAGUCCCAGAAAGAGAAGGCACCGGAGGGUGAUCACUCGGAACCUCAGUACUGGACAGAACCCUAGAAGGAAGAGGCAUCGGAGGCUGAUCAUUUGGAGCUUCACUACGCGGUACAGCCCCAGAAGACGAAGACAAUAAAUGCCUUUGGAACAAACCUAUAAACCUCUGAUGAUCAAGUAAAAUCUGACCAUCAGAUUCCUUCAUCUGGUCAAGCUUCCUCUUCAUGUUUGUAGCAAAGUCAUGUGCGAGCCUGUGCAACUGUUUAUUCUCAUGUUUGAGCCCUCUAAUCUCCUGCUUGAGACUCAUCACUUCAGCCGCCAAUGAUUCAACUUGGUGGGUUCGAGCAAAUAGGCGUUGGGCCAUAUUCGACACAGAACCUACACACUGAACACUGAGAACCAGAUAAUCUUUAACAGCCAACUCAUCAGACCGUUUGGAAAGAAGUCUGUUAUCUUUGGGAGUGAGAAGGUUCCUAGCCACCACCGCAGCGUUCAUAUCAUUCUUCAUCACGGAAUCCCCAACGGUAAGAGGACCAGUAGGGGAUAAGAAGGAUGGGCGCCAUAUGUUGUCUGGAGAAAGCGCGGCUGCCUCUUCACCAAGGUUCAAGUCAAAACGACGGUCGGAAGGGCCAUACAUUUUCAAAGGUGUUGAAGAGAAGAGGUCAGACAAAUCAAGAUCUUAGAAGUGCAAGAAGGGAGCUUCUACUGGUGGAGAUUCAAGUGUGCUUUGGAACUUAAUGCCAGCCUCUAUAAAAAUCUGCACUCGACAGAGCUUCAGAAAUCGAAGAGGCGCCUGCUCAGAAAUCGAAGAGGCGUUUGCUUUCUUAAAAGCUGGACUGCUCAGAGACCACGAGGGCCAAUCUCAGAGAUCGAAGAGGCGUUUGCUUUCUCAAAAGCUAGGCUACUCAAAGACCAGGAGGGACAAUCUCAAAAAUCGAAGAGGCGCUUGCUUUCUCAAAAGAUGGGCUGCUCAAAGACCACGUGGGCCGAUCUCAGAAAUUGAAGAGGCACCUGUUUUCUCAGCCUUGUCAGCACCUGUCACAUGCACACUCAGCUUUGCGGAAAUUACGGGCAAUCUGUCGAAGAUUUCUGGUGAAGUAGAAAGCACGUGAAUCUUACUGUUCAAUCAUCCAUUUUCCACACGCAACAUCAGCUCAUGGGUACCACAGAUAACUUUGCCAAAGAUCUCUGACAAAGUUUAAACGUGUGAAGCUUGCAGCUCCCACUACAUCGCUAUGACCAAGAAGGGUAAAAGAAUAGCAAAUAAACAGCACUAACAAAGUUUAUACAUAUAAAUUUUGAAGGUUUAGCUACCAUAUUAUUACCCACAAGGGUAAAGGAACAGCACCACUGUUGGAUAAUUGGAAAGUCCCUGUGUGUCAACCUCUGUGCUCCGUGGCAAGGUAGACUAGCAAAAAUGCCCAACCUUUACUCACAUUCGAGAAAACACUCCCAACAAGAUUGCUUGCUCUAAAAUCGAAGAGGCACCGCCCUCCGAAUCUCGAGAGCUAGACUCUUAACAGGAUUACUUUCUCAAAAAUCGAAGAGACACCGCUCUCCGAAUUUCAAGAGCCAGACUCCCAGCAGGAUUGCUUUCUCAAAAAUCGAAGAGGCACCGUUCUCCGAAUCUCGAGAGCCAGAUCCCCGAUAGGAUCGCUUGUUCAAAAACCGAAGAGGCAUCGCUUUCUCAACUUCGAGAGCCAGAUCUCCUUGGAUAAAGCUUGUCUGUAAUCUUCACACGCAACAUCAGCUUUCCAGAUACCACAGACCACUUUUUUAAAGUGCUCUAACAGAGUUAAAACACGUGAAGCUGGCAGCUCCCACUACAGUGCUAUGACCAAGAAGGGUAAAGGAAUAGCAUUACUACUUGUUGUUAGGGAGACUCCUAUAUAUGUCGACCUCCAUCCUCAACGGAUAGGCAGACCUGCAAAAAUGCUCAACCCUUCCUCAUAUCUAAGAGGGCACUCCCAACGAAGCCUCUCGAAAUACUCAGCUUUCUUUCCCCCCGAUAAUACCUCUGCAAACAAGCUACAGCAGAGCAAAAAUUUCUCAUAUCAUCAGGGUUAAAAGCAAGAGUAUCACAUAUCAUGCUUUUUCCCUGUCUUUUCAUUUGGCCUUGUUCUUACCUGCAAGACAAGGAGAAAGAGAGCAAUCAGUCAGCACUUGGAAUCAAGCUUCCAGUCAGGAACUGACUGCCUGGAACCCCUUACCUGAUUACUUACCUGACAUUGCUCUCGAGUACUCAUCUUCAACAUCUUAUGUUUCCAGAGAAGAUACCACAUUUGCCUGAGGAACAGUUAGGGCAAGUGAGAAGGAUACAAGGAAGCAUGUGGAGACAAGCGUAACAGAACACGUGCCGAUACUUCCACUACUUUGUCAACAGAAAAAGUAUCUCAUAUCAGCAGGGUCGAACGUGCUCUAGAUUUGAUGGACUUGUUUUGACCCUCAAAUUCUUCAGUCGGCCUUAUACUCUGGAGGUAACUAGAAAACCCUCCAACCCAGUUCAAGAAUAAGCAUGUGGAAAGUUACUUCUUCAAAAGCAAAAGUAUCUCAUAUCAUUUCUUCUCUUUAUCCUUCAUGCUGCCUGCAAGAUAAGGAAAAUGAGAAUAAUCAGCCGGAACUCGAAAUCAAACUUCUGAUCUGGGACUGAUUGCUUGGAGUUCUGAUUGCUUACCUUGUCUGUCACCUUUUCCAGCAGAUCCCCACGCUCGGCGACUUGGGGGACUCCUACUACAUGGUUUGUAUUGCGCUUGACCAAGCCUGAAACACAAGUAAGCUUCAAGUGAAAUUGAUACAUUACCUUGUGCAUCUCCACCAAUUAAAGAUAUCACCCCUAGACGGAGGAAGAGUACUUCUAGAGAAGAUGCCACAUCUACCUAUGAGACAGAUAAGGCAAGUGAAGACGAUACCACACUUCGGUACUUAGAAGUUUCGUGAUUACUCAGCGGCUUGGAUCUUGCACGUCCCCAACCGAGGAGCUUCCCCUCAAACCAGGAGGCCAAUCACAGAGCGACAUGUGUCGACAUUAGAAGCCAAUCAUAGCGCGACACGUGUCAACAUCGAAAGCCAAUCACAACACGACACGUGUCAAUGUCAGAAUAAGGCUAGAAACUCUCUUCUAUAAAAGAAGAUCAUUCUCCCAAAAUAUUUCCUAAUGUCAUCUGUACUAAAUCAUUCACUUGUACCCACUAAAGGAGAGCUUGAACCUAUGUACUUGUGUAAACCCUUCACAAUUAAUGAGAACUCCUCUACUCCAUGGACGUAGCCAAUUUGGGUGAACCACGUACAUCUUGUGUUUGCUCUCCUGUCUCUAUCCUUUUACAUACUUAUCCACACUAAUGACCGGAGCAAUCUAGCGAAGGUCACAAACUUAAUACUUUCUGUUCUACCAAAGUCCUCACUGAUUUUGUGCAUAAACAAUCCUUAAGUCCUUACCUUUUUGCAUUGGUAAUAGAUGAGUUAACAAGACAUAUUCAAGAUGUUAUUCCUUGGUGUAUGCUUUUCGCAGACGAUAUAGGGUUGAUAGAUGAAACUCAGGAAGGAGUAAAUGCGAAGCUUAACCUUUGGAGAGAAGUGUUGGAAUCUAAAGGUCUUCGCCUAAGCCGAUCAAAGAUAGAAUAUAUGGAAUACAAGCGGGAUGGAUGAAGUGGAAUAGUGCAUCCGGCGUGUUAUAUGACCGUCGUAUGCCACUGAAACUCAAUGGAAAAUUUUAUAGGACAGCAAUAAGGUCGGUGAUGUUGUAAGGCACAAAAUGUUGGGCGGUGAAGCAUCAACACGUACACAAAAUGGGUGUAGCGGAGAUGAGAAUGCUUCAUUGGAGGUGUGGGCUCACGAGAAAUGAUAAGAUUAGGAAUAAGUGGGUUGGACAUGUGCAAAGAAGGCCUACUAACGCUCCAAUUCGAAUAUGUGACUACGGGACAGAGGUUCAGGGCCGAAGGGGUAGAGGAAGACCUAGGAAAACUUUGGAAGAGACCCUAAGAAAAGACUUAGAGUACUUGAAUCUAACGGAGGACAUGACACAAAACCGAGCGCAAUGGCGUUCUAGGAUUCACAUAGCCGGCCUCACUUAGUGGGGAAAUGCUUUGUUGUUGUUGUUGUAACGAAAUGAAGACACACAAAUGUUUUUAGUCCACAUGUCCUUAAUUUAUUGGCACAUAAUUGUGCCAUGUAGGUUGUUCUCAAGACAUAGAGUCUGAAGAACAUAAAAUUACACAUGAAAUAUGUACUAGUUUUUGGGAAAUUGAGUUACAAGUUUUUACAAGUACAACAUUAUUGCAGUCUGCACUGGAACAACAAACAAAUCCACUCCAACCCCAAAUGCUUUCAUUCGGAAUAGUUCAUGUUUGUUCAGCGGCUGCCAGACUUAGCACCAACUACACACGGAGCUCCGCCUCUGGUUUCCUUUACAUAGGAAACAUAGUCAUUAUGGUCCAUCGUGCAUAAGGAGCUCUGGUAGCGGGUCAACCGUAUACGGUUCCGAAGCGACUCAGUGAUGCUCCCAUUGUAACCAGAUUUCCGCAUCAAUGAGUCAAUUGCUUCGGUUUUUGUCCAACCUGAAACCAAAUCAGACCAGACUAAGAACCAAAACACUAACAAACACAAAUUGGCACAGAAAUUUCGGCUUAUUGGUGAAUUACAGCACACAUAUCACAUUGCGUUCCUUAAUUUUCAUUAGAAACCUAACUACAAUUGGAUCCUUAUCUUCAAAAAUAAUCCACCUGACUUCUGUUACAAUGGAUGAGUAGUAACAGAAAUCAUGAAAGAACACAUUAAAACCUAGGAAUCGGUAACCCUGCGUCCGCUAAAUUUACGACUCAAUCCAUUAGGCUAAAACCUUGUCUAUGAAGGAUAGGGGCUUUUUAGUUCGGUACUAAAAACUUUGCUCAUAAAAGAUAAGGUUGCUUCAGUUUUAGGCACUAUAGCAGACGUGGAAGACGUAGAAGAAUUGUUCAAGGUUAGGUACCAAAGGUAGAAGAGGGAAUCAGUUUGGACCACGACGUCAUUCAAACCUUCAAACAGUAACGGUUGCAAAAUCAUUUUUUAACAAACCUAAUUUUUAUGACCAUGACAUCCAUACAACUGUGUGUCUGAGUAGUAGUAACAGCUUGGUCCAGUUGUUUUUCUAGGCUUUAAAGUUCAAAGUACUCAAACCCAAAUCCUAUGCCCUAAAUCCUUAUAUAUCUUAAACUUCAACGAGACUCAAGCAGUGACACCAAUGUGUGGCUGAGGUGACGUUACAACAUAAAACUAUAUAAAAAGAAUCAUCUAUAUGAACCCAUUCGAACCGUAAUUUUGGAAAGCUUACCCAGCUAUUCAAACAGAUGAAAAACAAAAAUUCCCACUCUCCUGGAUGAUUUUUUGCCCCUAACUAACUUUACCUCAUUUUCUCUGUACCUCAUCUUACAAAUAUGUAAACAGCUGCUGCUACAAAAAUCUAUAAAAGAAACUGGUUUGGUUCGUUCCAUGAAAAGUGGCAUUAUGACCACCUGUUCAAUUAGCAAAACAGAAUGUAAAUAAGUAACAAACUAUGAACAUAAGAAACUUAGCUAAUAGUUCGCCCACUCAAAGGACCUUUGUCAAAAUGUAGGACGAUAAUGAACCGUACUAAAUUUCCAAUUGGGUAAAGCUCCUUAUAUUUUUUUUAAUGCUUUAGUCCUUUUUUUUGUAAAAUUUAACCACUCACCUUCCUUGUCAUUUCCCAACUCUUCCCCUCCCCACCUUUUAUAGCUGGGCAUAGUAAUGCCAUGGAAAGUGGUAUGUUUCUGUUUCAGGGGCCCCAAAAUGGACUCUUAUGAACCCAUUUGAGGGGUCCAUCACAGGCGACUGUCUUAUGACCAAGGCAACAUAUGCUUUUUUCUAGUUUGAAAAUAAAUAAAUAAAUGUGGAAAAUCAUGAGAUAUAAUUGUAAAUUUAUUAACAAAACAGAAUUUGGAGAACCGGGCAAAAAAAUAAAAGAUCACAUUUUCCAAUUCUAAUUUCAUUUCAAAGGUUGGCGUAAAAUUUGCACCACCAGAAUUUUCAUAGAUACUACUAUGAUUUCUUUUGGUCAUAAAUUUCAAAAAGGCCUAUUUUUCGAAAAUAAUGAGUGGACAGAAUUACCUUCAUGGGCAGCAAUCUCAGGCAAAUACGUGGCGCUGCGUCUUGUGUUAUAGUCAGGAUCAGUAAACUCAAUAAUUAUACCAUGUUUUCCAAUCUGCAAUAAUUAUUAAUCAUGAUAAGAGAGCAAACAAAAUUUUGGAGAUAUAUUACAGAGUGAAUUAUGACCGUGCUUCUCAUGCAUACCGUAUCCCAUGCCAGAGUAUAUUACAAACUUAAUCUAAACAAUGAGACCUACAGUAUACCAUGCAACAUAGCUGAUUAAGCCAAAACCAUUAAAGAUCCUUACAAAUAUCCCAACGGUGGAAGAACUUGAACAUACCUCCCAAUCGAGGUAGUUACUAGCAGUUUCAUAAUCAGUCAGAAUGGAAACUGUGCAUUCCAAAUAAGGUAUUUCCUUAGCCUGUAUUGGGGGAAACCUCCGGUCCUUCAAAGCACUACAGAAAAUUACAAACAGGAAGAAAUGAUUAAAAAAUAUCACAAAGAAAAGAAAACCCCACAUCAGUAUAGAAAAAUAUAAAAAAAUAAAGUGUUAUGCAAAUGCAGUAGGAUGUCUCAUAUAUUCAAUGGUUUGCACAAGAUCUGACCUAGCUCAAAGCAAUAAGCGUUGUUCCAAAGUAUAUGAAGGCUCCAAGGAAGCAACAUUGAUUAGCAUUAUGUGACAGCCAAAUGUUAUUUCUAAUCAAGAAUCAAGUAUUUCAUGGAAGAUCAAAGCAUACUGAUUCGAUAUUACUGGAGUACGGACUGGGUGGAGUUAAGGAAAAUUAAUGUGUCAAAGGAUCAUACAGCAGAGAACGCUUCACAUUGUUGGACUAAACAAAUUAUAGAAGAAAUGUUCAAACAUUGCACGACUUUAUCCAAUCCUACUACAUUCUGAGGAUCGAGUGGAGCACUGUGCAUGAGGCGAGAAGGGUCUUGCCAAGGUCAAAGUUCUUCAGCCCUUUCAGGAUUGCUUCAAGAAGGUUCAAGGACACCGGUCUUGUCUUGAUUUUGAUCUCCACCAAUCAUUCCAUCUAUUAAAAUCCUCAUCUCAACAUCUUGUACAAAACCGAUCACCAGAUUAAAAUCCUCAUCUCUCUCUGUCUCCUCCUAUCCCUUAACGGUUACCUUUACCUGUUCUUCCUAUUUUGCACAUCGAGUGGCAGUAAAUUGAUACCAGUUGUUGAUAUCUUUUGUGUUUCUUAUGUUAAAAAAAGGGCACCAAGUCGGAAAUAAAUAAGAAACCUUUUAAAAGGUCUGAUCGUUAAAGAUAUACAAAAACCAAAAAAGAAAAACCAAUCAAACAUAAACAAGUUAAAGAAUCAAAGACCAAAAGACACAGGUCAAAGGUUAAUGACAAAUAAUAAUGAAGACUUGGUAAUCCAAAAAAUGGGCCCAUUCAUGCCACAUAAUGAUGAUCAGAAGAUCUUUUGAUAAAUAAUUACAAGUAACAAAUAAUUACAAGAUUUGUUAUAAUACCUGUUUAGGGCAUAGUCCCUGAAGCCAUUAAUCAAGCCCCGAGCUUCUAGUGUUCCUAUGCAUCCACGCAAACGAGGCUCACCACCAUUCAUCACUUUCUUCCAAGUAACAAACAAUGGACUGAGACCAAAGCAUUGUUAAUAUCAGAUGAGAACAUUGAAAGAAUCAAUGUACUGCUUCUUAAGCCAUAUAGCAAUCAACACACACACACACACUCUCAUAUAUGGGUGUGUGUAUGUGUGUUGUGUGUGCCAGUUACGAUGCAGAUCACCCACUAUUACGACUGAUAUGCAAGUCCACAAGUUAGGUUCCCAACUUAACACACACACACAUAUUAACAUACAUAUAUAUAGAUUCUAUUAGCAGAAGGAAACAUGAAACUAAUAUUGCCGGCCAUUUAUCACUCAUAACCCAAACGACAAAGGGUAAUAUAAAAGAGCACAUGCCACAUAAUUGGAGGAUGCAAUAUUUAAACUAAAAGCAAAUAAAUCUCAAACCAAGUAUUGAUAAAAGAAACUGCAAGACGUACAGCCUACGUGGUACAUACACUUCUUGUCUAAAGAGAAGGUGUCAAGUUCAAAUCUCCCAUUCCUCAUAACCACAACAACAACAAAGCCUUUUCCCACUAAGUGGGGUCGGCUAAAAAAGCCAUUCCUCAUAACCGGUACGAGAAAAUUAUCAGAUCUAUCCUUAUGUCUAGUUAAAAAAAAGACAUAAAAAGAACAAGGGAAAAAAUAAUUAUAGGAGUCCCUUUCUCCUAAACACCAUGGUCCAAGAACAUUGUGAUCACCCACCGUUCUACCUGAAUCCAAUGAUAGGUAGUCAAUUAACUUUGUUGUUGUACUUUUUCCUCCACCGUUGGAUUAAGAUCGAAAGUGAGUGACUACAAUUUCCUUGGACCAUGGAGUCUAGGAGAAUGGAACUGAUAGUCAUAGACACAACAUAGACUCAAAUUGCGCUCUUGCUUUUGCAAAUGACUGCACUUUAUUUUUCAAAUAACAAUACUACAAAAAAAAGGAAAUAUUCACUCAACAAGUUGAUUCUCAUAGCCAGUAAAAAAGCCAAUGCUAGAAGCUAAGCCAGCACACCGAUCAGGCUCCAAUAAAGGGCCUCCACCUCCUCGUGCAUUUUCGAAACAGAGUACCUAAUCUGAAUGGACUUCAAUCAAGUACCAAACUAAUCAUAUAUCCUAUCCCCUCUUGCCUAGUGCUGAUUUCAGAAAACAUGGGAUCGAUACAAGGCCUUCCAACACCACACUCAUAACUUGCUGACCGAAGACAACUGUACAUGGCUGAGCUAAUAUACUUUGGGAAAAUUCAGCAAUGGCAUGACAAAAUCAUCUUAAUCUAAGCAAGCCACUGAGACCGGUUCUAUAUAUAUAUAUUAAAUUUGUAGUUCACACUUCACAGUAGAAGAAAAAUAAAACAGAAUUAAAGUAAAAUGCCAUCGAAAAAAUGAAGCCAGAAACCGUCCUCCCAGUAGAUACAAUCUCAACAAUCUUCAGCAAAAAGUAAAACCAUGGCAUUAGAUUUUUCCUAAAAAAUUAAAUAUAAUAAAAUUGAAACGAGUAUGUGUGUGUACAUAUAUAUAUAUAUAUGUAUAUAUACACAGAGAGAGAGAGAGAGAGAGAGAGAGAGAGUACUGCUGGCCGUCGUCGAAAGCAGGGGGAGGAGGUUGGUCGGUGGUGUAGUGAGCGAGGAGAGUAUCGAAGCAGUAAGCCACCAUGUCCUUGUUCGCCGACACCAUUUUUUGUUUAUUAUACAAUUGCAAUUGGUAUAAAUGAUCGGUUUGGUUGCUUCGUAUUUGAUUUGAUCCCUGAAAUUAGGGUUUUAUAGAACGAAAGAAUGGAAGUAUAAAAACCAAACUUUUUUGGUCCCAGAAAACCAGAAAUAAUUGAAACAGAGAAGAAAGCAGGAAAAAGUAGAAAAUUUUGCUUUGUACGAGGAUCGACCAUCCUCUGAAGCAACCGAAAUAAUAAAAUAAAAAAUAAAAUUUCCUCCCAAGUCCGCCACCAAAAAAUACAAAUAUUCGCACCGAAUUUCGCACGUCAUUUUCUUUCACUUUUUUUAUUUUUAACCGUUGAAAAGGUGCAACUCAGCAACGAGUAGCAAGGUGAAAAUUUUGGUUCCAUUCAGGGAAUGAGAAUCAUUGUGGAGAUUCCGGAGAUCAUUCGAUCACAUCUAUUUAUCGUAUAUUUUGCAGUCUAUUUUUAUUAGGUUAUGUUUAUAUUUAAUUUUAAAUAAAAAAAUUUACAAUAAUUUUUUACUGCACGAUAUACUAUGAACAGAUAUGAUUAGAGAAUUUUCGGGAUCCUCACAAAGAGGAUCCUCAUUCCCAUUCAGGUUCCUUGAGUUGGGUCGAGUUGGAUUGGAACAAGGUUAAAUUCAAUUAUAAAUUUUGCACCUUGUGUUUGGAUGAGAAAUUUUAUUGAUGUUCGAUUAUUUACACCUUAUUUUGCAAGAUUUAUAAAGUUAAAUCAAAUAUAAGGAAUAAGGUGUAAUUCAAAUCUAUAAACUCUUUAUAUUGUGUUUGGAUGAGAAAAUUUUACUGACAUUCAAUUAUGUUACACCUUAUUUUGCAAGAUUUAUAAAGUUAAAUCAAAUAUAAGGAAUAAGGUGAAAUUCAAAUUUAUAAAUUCUUUAUAUUGUGUUUGGAUGAUGAAAUUUAUGAUUACGAAUAAAUUUGAAAAUGACGGAAAUAAUGAGGUAAUUUUAUUUUUUUAAAUUUGUGAAUUUUCUUGUUUAGUUAGCUUAAACAAACAAUGGAAUUUGAAGACAAAAAUUUUUUUUUAACUGUCUCAUAAGAAUUUGAAAAUGACACCUAUCAACAUCGAAUUUAAACUUUGGGAUUUGUGGUCCCAAAUUACAAGUUUUUUUUUCCACGAGAAAAUUCUAAAUUUAUAUGCUUAUGAAUCCAAACAAAUAAGGGAAUUGAUGCAUAUCAAUUUAUAAAUUAUGAUUUUUGUCAAAAUUCUAAAUUUAUUUUCCUCAUUCAAAUAUAUUGUUAGAACUUAGAAUUCAAUUCCAAAGUUCAUUAUCUACUCAAAAGUAAAACGAAAUAGGAAAAUUAACCAUGCAAAUGUGGAAUUAGAUUAUAAAACAAUACCAUUAUCCAAAUUUAUAUACAUCAUAUUAUACAAAUUAGGUAGGUUUGGUUUGGCGCGCACGAGUGAAUUUUCAGGUGUCGGCUAGCACAUCGUGAUUUGAGUGUUCAGGUGAACAUUUUAGGUCGGAGUGUGUCGGUUUGGUAUCAAAGUUUAGAACUCAUAUUGGAUUGGGUUAGAGGUAUGGCCAUCCAAACCAAACUCAAUAAAUGAUCGGGUUUAGUUUCGCAUCCUUUUCCAAUUACAUCCUGCCCAAUUGAGUUUACAAAUUGGAGCUGAUUUAUUCAACCGAGUUAAAAAAUAAAUAUAAAAAAAAUAAAAAUAAAAAUAAAAACACCCUUAAAAUCAGCAUUUUACAUUCUUGUUGGCGUGAAAGUUCUCUAAGGUACCGUUUGGUACGUGAGACGGGACGGAACGGAGUGGGACGAUGCGUUCCGUCCCACGUUUGGUGCGCCUAAAACGGGUGGAACGCGCUGUUCCACGGGACGAAUUUUGGGUGAAUUUUCGUUCCGCCUCACCCUCCUGGAAUGACUCGUUCCACAUCUGUGGAAACAAAAUUAUAACAUCUCCAUCUCCUUCUUCUUCCUCCUUAUUUCCAUCCGAUAGCAUCUUUACUCCAUCUCUGUUCCGUCCCGUCUACAUACCAAACGAUACCUAAUGGACGGGGAUACAAAAUAAUCAAUUUAGUUAGAAAAUGUAAACAAAAAUAUUAAUUUACAUCUUUAGGAGACGGGCCUCGUUAGUAAAAGAGAAAAUUAAAUAAAAUCACAAAUUUCUGAAAAUAUAAAAUGAAAUUUAAAAGCAACUUUUACAUGCCAUUUAAGAUGCCCUUGGAGGAUUGGCUUCCACAGGACACCACAAGUCAAAUAUUUCGUUAAGGAUGCUAAGAACUUCACUAAGAAUUCUUAAUGAAAUUCUUUGCAUCCAUAAUGAUAAAUAUGCCGAACGUUUGUAAGAAUGCUAAGAAUUUCAUUAAAAAUCCUUACGAGCGUUCAACAUAUUUAUCAAGAAGCCAAUAUAAUUGCGGAAGAUGAAAACACCAUAAGUCAAAUAUUUUCAAUCUGGUUUAGUAAUUUUCCUUCCGACGGAGCUUUGAAAAGUAUACAUAUCAAGAGGCUGCAUGUGUUUCCGCUGUGAAAAUUUCAGAUCAGGAUGGCUGCUGCAUUACUAAACCAUGAAAUAAAUGCUCUCCGUAAAAAUAUGAGGCCCAUUCUCCUAGACCCCAUGGCCCAAGAAACUGUGAUCACUCACCGUUCGAGCUUAACCCAACGGUGGAGAAAAAAGUACAGUAACGAGGUUAAACGACCAUUUAUCGUUGCAUUAAGAUCGAACAGUGGGUGACCACAAUUUUUUUAGACCAUGGAAUCUUAGGGUGCAUUUGUUUGAUGUUAGUAAGUGCGACUGGCUUAAGUGGGACUACAAUCCCAUGUUUGGUGCGGGUUGGGAUUAAAGUAAAUGAGACUAGCUGGGACUUGCUCAAACUGCAGCCUUCAUUAACGCUUCACUACGAAUCCCGUGCUCCACCGUAGGAUUGCUAAGACCCCCUAUAAUCUUGUCUUCUGCAUCAUUUGCUAUUGCGCGCCCCGUCGCCCAAAUCAACCUCGUCGCCAACUCCAACACCUCGCCAACGCUUGGUGCUGGAAAUUUUCUUGCUCGUCGAUUUCCAAUAUGUUGAGAAAAAAAACCCAUAAACCCUAGAUCCCCAAAUUGAUAUCUAAAAUAUGAACAAACAAAAAUCACAGCCCAACACGUCAAGAAGAUGUUCAGCUUGAAGAGAUUGGGGCUUUUGCAAUUGAAUUGAUCACUUCAAAAUGAUGUUUAGGUGUGCUUUAUCAACAACUAUUCCUAGUCUUCUCUAUAUCCUUAUCUGAACCUUGUCUCGAAAUUGACCAUAGUUAUCUAGCAUAACAUCUAAAAACAAAUUACUAACACAUCUUGAAGAGAUUGGGGCUUUUGCAACCGACACAAUAGAUGAUUGGAUUCCAUUGAAGAGAUUGGAGACGGUGGUUGGGAUUUUUGGAAGCAAAGAAAAGAAAAGGUCAAUGUCAGUGAAGAAGAGCAGUGAAUAGCUAUGAAAUUAAAAAAAAAAAAAGAGUUUUAACGAAAAGUCCGCGGUACUGUUCACUUUAACGAAAAAUCAUAUUUUUACACUAAAAAGUCAAACAUGAUACUAUUCACUUUACCCUUUAUUUUGUCCUUAUCAUUAAAACUCAAAGUUUUCAAGUCAUUUUCAUUAGUUUUCCUAUUAAAAAAAGCAACUUUAACGAAAAGCGCAUGGUACUAAAAAUCACAUUUUUACAUUAAAAAGUCAAUCUUGAUACUAUUUACUUUACUCUUUAUUUUUUCCUUAAAGCAACUCCAGCGUGCUCUUUAGCCCGAUGGACCGGCGAUUCCAAUCACCCAAUUGCCCCAACAAUUGGCUCCCUCCCAUGCAGGCAAUGGAGCUUGGGGGAGGCCCAGUGGAAAGGCCAGGCGGGAAUCCAUCGCCCGAGAGCUUGAUGGUUGUGUGAUGUGUGGCUAACCUUAGGGUGAUCCGGCUCGAAUUCGUCAAUUUUUCUUUAUCGGAAUCUGGAAAAAGAAUGGGAUACAUGCAGGGAAUUAAGCCCUCGAAUUAAACCACAAGAAUUGCAACACAACAGGAUUUAAAGCUCAAUAACACAAGAUAGUGAUAGAAACAUCACUUGGGUUCGAGAAUGAGAGCUCAAGCUCUCGGCUUCAAUGGUAGGACCUUGCACCAUGCACUGAUGCCACAUGCAAGGGCAUGGUUGGGUACCUUAAGUUCCAGGGAUUCCAAAAAUAUUAUUUUUGAGCUUGAUUUGUUGAAGGUUUGAAGAGGAAGGAGGAAGAGAGCUCACGUGAGUGAGCUGGAAAAGAGGGAGAGAAAGAAAGAAAAAGGAAGAGAGAGAUAUAAAGAAAAGAGAGGGAGAGAGGGAAAGAGGAAGAACCGGUCAAAUAAGGGAAAAAAGGGAAAGGGUGAUGGGGAUGUAUGAAUUGGAUGAGGAGAAAAUAUUAAUAUUUUAUUACUUAUUACCAUGGUUAUUCAAUUUAAGAGUGGAGAUGCAAAAAGUAGUUACAGUUCAUUAAAGACAAUUACUGUUCAUAUGGUGGAUUCAAUAGUGAGUUGCCCUAAAGGGCCUUUGCAACGCUGGAGUUGCUCUUAUCGUUCAAACUCAAAGUUUUCAAAUCUUUUUCAUUAGUUUUCUUAUAAAAAAAUGAAAUAAAAAAAUUAUAAAAGUGAAUAAAAAAUAACAAAAUAUCUAAUCUAUUACUUUAGUCCACUAUUGCAUCAAACACUUCACCAUUUUUAUCCUGCUUAGUCAAAGUCAAGCCAAUCCAGCUUAAUUCCUAAAACUAGUCUAGUUCAAUAUAGUCUGGUGCAACAAACGCACCCUAAGAGAACAAGACUGGUAAUAGGACAUUCUUACCAUAUGAAUCUCAAAUUUCAAACUUUGCAUGCAUAAGGCACGAAACAGUAUCAUCGAAACCAUAUUCUGUCCAAAUGCAGUCCAACAGUAAAAAUGAAUAACACUUGAAUUUAGAAUCACAACUAUGCCAAAAUUUACAUGAUACUGUAAUGCGCAAUUCCACAGCAAGUAUCAACGAAGGGAGGCACGUCCGUCGAUAAUUUGACUGACCCUAUCUACAUUCUUACAUGUGUACCAACUAUACAAAUCGAGCAUGGUAUGACACCAACAUACAUACGAUACGACGAGGGCUUUGGCAAUUGUUAUAAUGGGAUGAGUCUAAGCUUUUGAUUAAUAAUAAUGUACAACUUCACUAGCAUUGUGCUAUGUACAACGGAAUAUCACUUCCAAACCUUGAUUGCCCCAUCUCUACCGCUUGAUAUUAAGUGUCUCUGAUUUAGCUUAACCGAGGCCAACGCUAGGAUUGAAUCACGGUGGCAGCCAGCAGAAUCAGUGGCAGCAGCCGCAAGAACUGCCUUGGCUGUCAGCUUCGAUGUUAGAGGUCGUCUUUUCGUCUCCUGUAUUAAAACAAGAACCAAUUCAAGAAUAAAAAAAAAUUCUGGGUACCAGGUUACAAUGAUAAUAACUUUCUUCAACUUAGCAACUGAUCUAGUGUCCUAUUUGUUACGACGCAAAUACAGAGACCAGGGACACAAUAGAGCAGUGACCCGUGACAUUAAGUUGGAGCGGCUAAUAAAAGGUCGUACCCAGUGCACAAGGCUCCCGCUUUACGCAGGGUCUGGGAGAGGUGAAUGUCGGCUAGCCUUACCCCCAUUUAUGGAGCGGCUAAUAAAAGAAAAAAAAUAACAGAAAGCAAAUUCUAUUGCCUGAUUCCCCUCCCCAAAGAAUAUUCUAAACCCAUAGGUUCUUUGAAACUACCAACUCGUUUAGCUCUGGUUUUUAGGAGGAUAAAGUUAAAUAAAUAAAAGAAAAACUAGCUUCUGCAUGGAUAAUCUACAGAUCGACCUCAUCAGUCAUCAUACCCUUCCACCCAGGGAUAGUUUACUACCCCACCUAACUUCGUAGAUAUGUGACUAAUACAAUUGACUAAUCAUACCUGCACAACUUGCACGCCAAAGCUAGAUCUUGUUGCAUAGAAAUCAUCAUUUCCGACUCCCUUCAAGUUUGGUCCACAAAUAGAGUAACUUCGAUCGGGACUGCAAUAUAUGAAUAAGGCCAAUUAGAUAACAACACCCUUUAGUAAACCAAUAAAGUAAUAAUGAACUUGUGUACAAACCUGUAAUGAUCCCAUCGACGUAUCUUCAAGUCGGUUCCUCCAGUUAACAAAUCACCUCCAGGUAAGGGCAGCAAUGAACGGAUGCCAGGAAGACGAGGAGGGGGUUCGUUUAGUUCAUCAACUCUGUAGUGGGGAUUGACAUUCCGUCUCAGAUCUGGUUUGGAGCUUUUACUUGAUGACUUAGCCAAGGCCCAAGGAACUUCAGAUAUUUCAGCAUCACUUUCGUAAUUUGCCACUCUCAGCACCUGCAGGGAAAAAAAUGAAUAUCUCAGACAUUUGAACUUAUGAAGGUAGACCUAACAGAAAAGGGGGACUUGUGUACGCAAUGAAAAUUAAAUAAAAAGAAAAAAAGAACAAGCAUUUAAAAUGUUUGAUAAAACCCAAAGUCUGAACAAACCAUCCAACGGCCAAGAGACUUGAUAGUAGUCUAUACAAAUUUAACCUGUUUCUUAAUCAACAAAUUACAUGUCCAAAGUAAAAAUUUGUUUAAUGAAAUCUUAAGUACCCUUCUGUUUUUUGCAUUCUAUUGGUUACUUUAAAUGUGGCUUAUGCGAGCGAGGGAGAAGCAAGGGUCUCAUUCCAGGAGUCAUUAGGAGUCAGUAAAAUAAAAAUCUGGACUACAAGAAACUAAUAUACUACCAUUCAGCUAGUCUGAAGAAAAGAAGUAGAAAAUUUUGGUAAACCGCAGAGUAAAACCUGCAAUCCUUCAAUUUCAUACCAAAAGGGAAUGCAUGGAUGAAACCACAUACUGCCUCUCUUAAAUUCUGUCUCUAUAAAACAAGAUCUGGUUUUUGCUUUCAAAUUUCUUUAUUUUUAUUACUUUGAAUAAAGGGCAACCAGGGGAGUGCAAUCUAUGCGUACAAUUUUAUCAUCUAACUUUUCCAGCACCAUCCAUAUCUGAUAUCUAAGAAAACUUAUAGGAGAUGAUUUCUGUGUGUACCUGGUGACAGCUUCCAUUUUCAGCAUUCCAAAGAGAAACUUCGUUGGAACCUGCCGCAACAUAAAUAAGGGGCCUUGCAGCAGCAGACACAGAGGCAUUUGGUGGAGGAAGAAACAGGCACAUUUUCUCUAUAGGGCAAACAGAAGAAUACUGCCAUGAGUUUACAGGAAUAAGGAACCUCAUAUCCCAAAGAGUAAGCACACCCCUCGAAGAUCCUGACACAAACCAAUUUUCACAGGGGCCUGUUACCAGCGAAGACACAUAGCCCUCCUCAGGAGUUGCUCUCAAUGUCCAAGAAAUGGUAUUCAGCCUUACAUCCCAAAGAUGGAUCCCACAAUUUUGGGUGCUGUACAUAACCAUCUGAUUUGUGCCGUUAUCCGCUGAGAAAUUCAACAGGCUCAAUAUGGCACCUUCCUUGAUAUCCUUCUUCUUGAUAUCAGCAACACCUGAAUACUUUUCAACAACAUUACCAAGUCCCCUGGAGAUGUAAUCAACAGAAAACAUAUGUAUCAUGCCAUCACAUGCUCCUACCACGACUUGGGCAGACCCCCGGAGCAUUGCACUGCACAGUGCACGGCUUCCUUCUAGAUGAUAAGUCAACCUUGACCGAAAUGAUAUGUCCUUUUCCAACUUUCUUGAAUCCCACACCUUAACAGUGGAAUCAUCAGAUGCACUCACAAAAAAGCUAUGAUCAGUUGAAAUGGCUAUGUCAUUGACAGCAGACCGAUGUUCUUGCAGGUGAGCAACCAACACCCCACGAGGCCUCCAACCAGAGUCUGGAAUUGAUGAACUUCGUGAAGGAGACGGCAUUCCUGUUAGAUCACUAGCUGUGGAUGCAUCUUCCGCAGGAAUAGCACAUUUUGUAGUGCCAGAUAAUCCCAUAUCUUGAAGCUUGCUAUUACCAAAGGCUGUUUGAUCAUUAUCCCUACCAUCUGGCUCAUGUACUACUCUAUAGAACUGUUUGGAACCAUUGCCAAUGUUGAAUGAUCCUGACACAAACUUAGGUGCUGGAACAGAACUAGCCAAACUAAAUGAUUUAUUUACUGGAUCCAUCCAAGGCAUAGCUGAUGCACCAAUUCCUACAGAAUUCACUUGUGAAGAAGAAUCAGAUGUUGCAGGAGGACCUCCGACUGCUCGCUUGUCCAUGCUAAAGGAGUAUAAAGGUAUGCCAACAGAUGAUUUAUCGCACAUGAAGCUAUUCACAUAACUUCCCUGUGGCCACAUAAACCCUGAAAAUUGCAACUUUUCAGAGGACAAAGGAUCAUGAAUGUCAACUGUGCUAGAAGACCGUGUAAAGCUUCCCAUACUUCUCAACUUAGCCUCACCAUCAUCACAUUCAGUUAACUCUCCUUGUUGCAAGGCCUUUCCAGUAAGUUUAUGAUUUUCGGCACUUUGUUGCUUGUCUGGCCAGCUCCCUGUUGAACUCAGUUCCUCAACUCCUUUAUGAAGCAAGUCAACACUUUCCCAUUGUUUAGACUGAGGCCAAGAGUUGUACCAUAUCUUUCUCUGUCUUUCCAACAUGUCUGAACUCCUUGCAUUUUCUAGAACUUGGUAAAAAACCUGUCUUGAGACUGGAGGCUUUAAACACAAAAGGAGAGCCUUUUCAGAAGCAAGAGAUGCUGGCUGUCUGCGGAGUAGGGGGCGAAUAACAGGGGCUAGAAAGACAUAGGAAUCUACAGCACCUAAGCUGUCACUACUGGCUGCAAUGAAAGUGACAGCUGACCUUCUUACCCAUUGACUAGGAUAGCAUAACAAUGGAAAUGCAUGCUCAAUCAUUUCAAGAAGUAUCCUCUUCCGCAAGAAACUACUUUUGCACAAAAUGGCCAAACAGUCCAAUGCAUUGACAAUUACAGCCUCUGUUACAUCACUUACAGCCUGCUCAAUGUAAGGUAAUAGAUAUUCUUCCACACUUCUUUGACCCACAAAGAAGCACACAUAUACAAUUUGCCCAUAGAAUACUGCUCUCAGCUGCUCAUCUCGAUCAUUCAGAAAAGCAGGGAGAAUGGGUAACAAAAAGUCAUUACUCUGUCUCUGGCCAAAGAAGCAGCAUAGGUUGCUAAUGUCCUGAAGGAGUGCUCUCCUGAUAUUUGGAGUUUGCUUUGGACCCAUAACAAGUUCUUGAAUGACCUCAGCUAUAGACUUCCUCAACACAGCAAGUUGACCAGAUGUCUCACUAGAUGAUGCCAGCGGCUUUUUUGCAGAACUUAAUUCAUCAAGUACCCCAGCCUCACUCAAGCGCAUUGAGUGAACCAAGAAACCAUAAGCAGUUAGCGCCAGCUUAGCAAUAUUACUGGCAUAACAUAUCCUCACACUUUCUUCUGGAUCAUCCGGAAGCAUGGAAAGCAUUGGCAGAAUAUACUCCGGAAAAAUUUUUGCAUCACUGGGAGGAAAAUCUCGGACUAGAGGUAGUAUGUCACACAACGUCUCCAAGGCAGCACAACGCACAAUUGCAGCUGCAUCUGAAAGCAUUGCAACAACAUAUGGAAUUACACGUUGCAAACGAUCUUCAUCAUCAAUAUACAAGGCAGAGGAUUUCAGCAAAAGUAUGGCCCUCCUCCUUAAAUGAGGCAAUUUUACAUUACGUAUGCAUGAACAGAGCAACGAGGUAAUCAGAACCAUGCCCUCACAUCUGAUACUGUUUUCAGGUAAUGGCAGAAAUGGUGUGCCAAAGGUAUCUGAAUGGCUGUCAUACUUCGACAUCAAAGAAUUCAAAUCAUUCAAUGUAAUCUUUUUCAGGAAAGGAUGAUCGUUUCUCCUAAAUGCAUUAGAGAUAGAUUGAAGUAAUUCACCAGGAGAUUGCAUGCCAUAGUUGCCAAGAUUCGGGGAAAAUGCAGAAUCGGGAUUAUCGUUAACCAUUGGCUUGGUAGCAGAAUAAUUAUUACUUUGUUUAACAUCCCGAAGAAGGGUAUUGAUAUCACCGAGAAGUUCCAAUUGAUCACAUUUUAAGCCUUUACCCAUCUCUUCACUCUUUGUAAAUGAGCCCCUUGUCAAACCCUUGUUCUGCAUUACAACUGCUUCCUGAGAAGUUCUACCACUCAUGCCAUGGGCACUUGAAGGAGUUCCCGGUCCUGUUCCAGUGUCCUCAGUUGACCUACUGCUCAUCAUUUGUUUAAGUAUCUCAUGAAAAACACUCUGGCAAAGUGCAACCUACAUACAAUAAUGACAUGGUACAAUAUUACUUUAAUGUGAGUUCCAAAAAGUAUGAAGUGCGAAUCUUAAAUAUUCUGUACCAACAUUUCUUACCCUCAUAUCUGAAUGAAGGGGAUUCCAGAAACAAUGGAAAUUAUGCAGAAAUGGAGAGAAGUAACUUGGAAAAACAAUGGUUGUAUACUCCUGAAGGUAGCUAUCAGCAGAAUGUCGCAACUCUGGUUCCAACUGAAUCAUAUGAAGUAUCAUCUUGCGAAUCCCAGAAUCUGGUAUCUGCGUUCAUUGUGCAUAUAAAUUGAUAAGAUGGCCAACAAUAUUGACAGUGAACUUGAAGAAAGUGAAGAAAGCUUCCACCACACAUAGCAGUCAUUUACAGAGCCAUGUACAUCAGGUAGCCACAUUAAAACAACCAAGAUGCAAUACAACAAUAACCAAGGGUUGGCUAAAAUAUAAGGUUCAAGACUAGAGAAGUAACAUGAUAAAGAGUAAUUUAAUACAUUAUGGGAAGAGAUGUGAUGGAAACUCAAAAAGAAUUGUAUACUUAGUAUUGAGAAAGAGAGGGCGAGAGAGAGAGAGAGAGAGAGAGAGAGAGAGAGAGAGAGAGAGUACCUUUUCAAGAAGUUGGCUAGGAUCGUAUUGCCCUCUACGAUAAGCAAGAAGUUGAGAGAGUUCGAACAGUGGCUGUCCCUCAAGGAAAAGCUCAGCAAUUACACACCUAAAACAAUGUCGUGAAUAUGAUGAUGCAUCUCAAGAGAAAAUAAUAAUGGUCAUGAUUAGGCAUGAGCACAUUUUCAUUCGGGCUAAUCGCCCCCACUGUAACUUUGACAAUGUAUCAAUAAACUUGAAAUAUAUCAUUUUCAUCCUAUAUCUGAGAUUUCACUUCAAAUUUGACAUCAAAACGAAACAGUCAUGCUCUGAAAAGAGAGAUCCUAACGCAACAAAAGCUCACCCUACAGCAAAUAUGUCCAUAGAUGGCCUUAAUGGUGCAUCUUGUGCAACCUGCAUCUCACCUCCAUGCUCAUAAAAUCUCUGAAAAUGAAGGCGUAUGAAGAAAUUUAAUAAUGUAACAGUUUUAUUUAGGAAAGUAUAUAUCGUGACUGGUUAGUAACAGAAAUGUUGAGAACUUUCUUAAAAUUAGAAGUGAAACUUCUCAGCUGACUCCUAAUACAUUUUACUAUAAUUUGUACUACAUCGGGAUUUGUAUAACUGCUCAAAUUUUGUACCAGGAUAGCAGGCACAUUAUCAAUUUCACACACCCACUCCGAUCAAGCUGGAUCUUAUGACUGCAAGCUGUAUCCCUUUUAUGAACCUAUAUGUUCAUGUUGUACGCAUAUAAUUACAUAACCGCUUGCGACUUAAGAAGAAGUAAGAAAAUGGAUAAAGUGUGCACCUCCUCAGCAGAUAAAUGGAAAGAAAGUGAAUACAGAAGAGAGAUAGAAAAGUGAACCUCAGGAGCAAGAUAACAAAGCCUUCUUCCUCCCGUGUCAAAGAAAAAAGAGAAAUCAGAAGGAUCGUCAUAUGGUAUGUAGGUGGGUUUGAAGGAUGCAAAGUCAGCAAGGUAGAGCCAAUUCCAAGAAGUCACCAACACAUUCUCACACUUAAUAUCACCUAAGACGAAAAGAAAACCAACGUCAUUACUAAGACAUUGAAAAGACAUUGAAAAAAUAACGCUGGUGAAGUUUCUGAAUAAAACUGAACUGACCGUGACAUAUUCCUUUAUCAUGGCACUGCUUCAGAGCAAGAAGUAACUACACCAACAACC
rnacentral:lncRNA from 1 species